CACGUGUACUUAACAAUGGAAGCGCUGCAUAGAACGUAUACAGCGCGAGCUGCAGAAUACCAUUCCAUCCUCCGUUUGUCACAUCUUAUCCUCUCUUUCUUUUCCCGCGAACGCAGAGAAAUGGCGAGUCUGUCUCUCAUCUCCUCUCCCUGCUUCCGUUCCCGAAAACCUAACAAAACCCUAGAAAUUCCGUUCCCAAAACCCCCUCUCUGCGGCUGCAAACCUCCAUAUCUCGCCUUCAAUGCCAAAUUCUCGUCUCCAAAAUCUCAUCUCCUCCCCAGCAAUAUCGUCUCUUUCGCGAUAAGAAGCAGUCUCUCAACGAUCUCCGUGGGUGCGAGAAAUUACGAGUUUUCCGAUGGUGAUGCAGAGGUAGAGCUGAGAAUUCAACUAGGGGGCAGAGAUAUUCCAAGUUCGAGAGAUGUUUUUGUUGAUGUCGAUGAGAGCUCCUUAACCAUCAGAGUUCGGUCCUCUGGAUCUCUUGUAACUCUAAUGGAAACUGACCGUAUGUAUGAGAAGAUAAAGCCAGCUGAAACUAUAUGGUACAUAGAUGAGGAUCAACUGGUUGUAAACCUGAAAAAGCUCAACAUGGACUUGAAAUGGCCUGAUAUCACAGAGACUUGGGAGUCACUUACCACAGGAGUCUUGCAACUUUUGAAAGGAACAUCAAUCUAUGUCAUUGGUGAUUCCACAGAAAUUAAUCAGAAAGUUGCUAAAGAACUUGCAGUUGGUCUUGGGUACACUCCACUUAAUACAAGUGAAUUGCUGGAAAUUUUUGCAAAACAAAGCAUUGAUUCUUGGGUGAUGGCAGAGGGGGAUGAUUCUGUAGCGGAAGCGGAAGUUGCUAUAUUCGAAAGUCUCAGCAGUCAUGUCCGUGCUGUUGUUGGGACAUUAGGAGGGCGACAUGGAGCUGCUGGAAGAGCUGGUAAGUGGCAGCAUCUUCAUGCGGGGUUCACUGUAUGGUUGUCUCAAUCUGAAGCCACUGAUGAAGCUUCUGCUAAGGAGGAGGUUCGAAGGAACAUACAAGAUGGGAGUCAGGCUUACUCGAAUGCUGAUGUGGUUGUCAAGCUUGGAGGCUGGGAUUCUGACCACAGCAAGACAGUUGCUCAGGCUGCUCUCAGCGCCCUUAAACAGCUAAUUCUAUCAGACAAGAAGCUUCCAGGGAGGAAGAAUCUUUACAUCAGGUUAGGAUGCCGUGGUGAUUGGCCGAACAUCAAACCUCCUGGUUGGGACCCAUCAAGUGGGAUGGAUGUAUCCACCGACACAUAGCAAAGGAAAUUCCUGUUCAUUUCAGUUUUAUGUUGGAAAUAAGAAGAUCAUGCAACACACAGUGGGCACAGGACUAUCAACCGCCAAAUGCUGGGAAGAUGGGGAGUUUGGGUUUCUUCAUAAAUGCCUAUGUUUGAAUUUACAAGGGUUUUUUUGGGGCCUCUUUAGGAGUUUGGAAAACAGAGCGAGAAACUGGCAUUUUCUUCCAAAGUUAAUUUCCAAGAAAGCAUUUGGAGGAGAAAUGUGGGGAAGGGCCGAGAAAAUUUCGUGGAGUAUUUUUCUAUGAAAACAUAUUCUUGGAAAAUGCUUUCCACCAAAACAUGAACUUCCAAUCGGGGGAAAAUGUCAUUUUCAUGGAAAGUAUUUUUCCACCCAUGCACACCACACAAAAUCAUUUCUCUGUAGCACCAGUUUCAAUUAAGGAAGUCAUACAAAUCUGUAAGCCUAAGGACAUGUUUGUUCCUGUGGAGGGUCGUUCCUGAUUUUAAUCUUUA